GAUCAUAGAGUGGGUUUGGCAUAGCGGCUUCUGUUCUCCGGUUGUGCUGUGCAGAUAAAGGAAGGAACCGAGUGGAAGGAACCGAGGGAGGCUAGAAGGGGCUAAGUCCAAAUUGAUCCAGAUCAUUUUCCUGUACUCAUUCAAUUGAGAGAGAAGUAGUAGUAUCGGAAGCUCAGAGACCAAAGAAGAGAAGAGUUGAAAAUGCCUACUGCAUUCUUGAAGUGUCCCAUGCAUGAGACUGCAGUUCCAAUCUUUUCAUGCUUAUGAAUCAAGAAAUACAUACUAUCCUCCAUUGUUCUGCAAGAGGAGUUGUUGACUGUCUUGGUGCUAGGAACGGGGAAAAGUACAAGUUUCUGAGCCCAGUCCAGCAUUAAUUUACAAUAUAGAAGUGUUUUGUUUUUUUUUAGAAUUUUCUUUAUUAUAUUACUACAAAACAUAUGUAAUACAUUAUAUUAUUUUGAUACAUAUUGGCUAAAGAUUACUAAAGUUCUCAUGUUUAUAUAAUUAAACCUUUACAAAUAGAAAAAGUUAAUAUAUCAGUGUUAAUCAUGAUUAGAAAUGCCAAUAUUUAAUAUAAGAUUAUUUAGAUUU
rnacentral:lncRNA from 1 species